AUCCAGCUGGUGAGUCUCAAAUGGGACGAAACGCGUGUUCUGAAU
rnacentral:hammerhead_ribozyme from 1 species